rnacentral:lncRNA from 1 species
CCUGGAACCCCAUCCUCUGAGAUGGUCUCCGAGCCUUUGGGAGUAGGCUCUGAAGAUGAGAUUCCUGCAGAAACAGAAUGCACCACUUGUUUCCCGUGCCCUUUAGACCUUCAAGAUGGAUGACUUUCCUGGAAGAGAUCCAGUCAAACUUCUACCAGGCUCCCUAGAGAGCCCCUGAUGUGACAGACUUGGCCUUAUCUGAGAAUUGGGCCCAGGAGUUUCUUGCAGCUGGAGAUGUUAUGGAUGUAACUCAGGAUUCUAAUGAGAUUGACUGGUCCCAAGGAUUCAUCACAGAAGUAACAGACCCCUUGUCUGUGUUCCCUGCAUGCUGGGCUGAGGAAUAUCUAGAGCAGUCUGAGGAGAAGCUGUGCUGGGGGAGCCUAAGGGAAUAGCCACCACUGAUAAUAUGGAAUGAUGAUUAUCAUCCUGAGGAGAAUCUGCAGCACACAGCCAGUGACUUUGUGGCCAAAGAGGAUGACCACAAAUUGGCUAAUUCUGAGGCAUUAGAUGCAUGGCUUGACCAGUUCACAAGACCAGUAAACACAUCUGCACUUGACAUGGAGUUUGAACAAGGCAAGUCAGCUAUACAGUCUGAUGUUGAUUUCUGGGACAAGUUGUAGGCAGAGUUGAGGAGAUGGAAAAACAGGAUGCUGAGGCUCACUCCUGGUUUUCUGACUAUGAUGAUCUUACAUCUGCUUUGUAUGAUAAGGGGUACCAGUUUGAGGAAGACAAUUCCCUGCAUGAUCACCCUUAGCCUUUUGAAGAAGGGCUAUGGUGGCUUCAGGAGAGGGACCUGCCAAAUUCUGUGCUGCUUUUUGAGGCUAAUGAGCAGAACAUUCUAAGCAUAUGAAAGCUUGGCAUUAUCUGGGUACUACUCAGCAGAGAAAGAGCAAGAACUUUUAGCCAUCAGUGCAUUGUGGAGGUGUCAGGAGCUAAAGCCAGAUAACCGGACAACACUAACAGCACUGGCUGUGAGCUUCACCAUUGAGUCCCCACAGCCAUAGGCCUGGAAAACACUGAGAGACUGAUUGUGCUACACAGCAGCCUAUGCCCAUCUAAUGGCACCUGGUGAAGAAGGGACUGGUGGAGCAGG